GUGCUUGCUUCGGCAGCACAUAUACUAAAAUUGGAAUGAUACAGAGGAGAUUGGCAUGGACCCUGCGCAAGGAUGACACCCAACUAGAACCUGCUGUCCUGUUA